AAAAAGCGCAAUGGAGGCGGGCGGACCCAAGCUGGCCGCGUGGGGUGGAUCCCCGUCCACCCCAUUCUCUCGCCUCGGCGUGUCUCAUGGGGGAACUCGCGGCCCUCGACGGUGGCGAGCGAGGAGGCUCCCGCUGCAGCUCCGAGCACCUUCCCGACAUGCUGCAUGGCCUAGACGGCCAAGGUAAUCCCUUAUUCCUUCCCCAUCCUGCCAAGUACGUACAUAGCUUGCAGCAAUGUCAUGUGUUGCUGCUUCCUUGGGCAGACUAGCGCCACAGAUCCGGAUGUUUGCCACAUACUUUUUUUCAGAGAGAGGAACGGACACUCGUAUCCGGAAUAGAUACCAUAGUAUGUUUGUUUGCAAGAGAUCCGUGGAACUCAAAUAAAACUCUAAGUAUAGGGAUGAAGUCAUCUAGGAAAUAGAUCUGAGGACUAUGGUGAAGUUACAAAAUAAAAAUCAAAUCACUUGCACAUAUCAAACUAACUUCUGAUCAGGAAUUUGGUUGCUCCAUAAAAGCUGCAGUUUUACAAUUUGUUCUUUCUUGAUUUGCACGGAUGCAUAGCUCCCUGAGUUGUUUGGCUGUUUACAUGCAUGUUUAUGGGCUAUUUUGUGCAACUAAAUAAAUUCAUUUAUGGUUGUCAGAUACUCAUGUCCUUUAUUAGCUUGAUGAGGUACACCUUAUGUAGGACUGAAUUAAAAAUAUUACACUUCUCGGUGAAAACUUUAUCUAGCAUAUGCAAUGUUAUGUUCUGUGAGCAGUGUCAAGUUAGAAGAAUAAGUUAUGCAUCUGAAAACAAAUCUCUUCUUUUUUUCAUAUUCAAAGAAAAUAAGUUAGUUGUUGAGUGUUUACUUCCCAAGUGACAACUGAGUAAUCACGUUCAGGUACAAUAAAAAAUGGCAAGCCAGAAUGUGCUAGCUAUUUGCCAAUUUGUUGUAACAUGCAUGUAAAGAGAUGGCAGCAGUUUAUGCACAUUUCUUGACUUCAAAAGAUGACUAUCCAGAUUCAAUUGGGACCGCUAAGGUUGGCACCUUUCUCUCUCUUCCUUGGAGCUGCAUGAUUCCGUUCGAGUUGCUUAUCUCCACUUCCCCUGAUGCGAUUUCCCUCCUCACGCAGGUUAGGUAGGAGCACAAAGGUAGAUUGAAAAUUACCAGCGAGUCCAUCUCCUACUUCGACUGCAAUGUAAUGCUGAGUCUCACUUGCUUUCUUCCCUCUCUUUUCUCUUCUUAUUAGAGCAAAGAUGCAUUUCAGGCGAUGAACUCAACCAUUGCUCUGGGUUUGUGGGUGUGUAUGUGUGUGAGGGUGAGAGAGGGAGAAGUUUUUAGCUUUAAGUUGUCUUGUGAUUUCGUUUCCACUUGAAUCUGCUAUAUGACAUCUUCCAUGUUGUUUGUAUUACACCGUCGCGUCUCAUGUAACUUAUGAGGCUGGAGAUGGACAGCUUUUGUUUGUCUUCAGCCUUUACGUAACCUUUCCUAAGAUAUGUGCUUUCACUGCUUACUUGUGGAUCUGAAAGUUUUUCUUUGAUUAGAUGGUGUUGGUUGUAACAGAAUAGUAGAAUGCAUUGGCUAGCAGAAGUGAGGUUAUUCGGCUUUAAGUAUACAAUAAACGAAUGCAUUUACUUGACAGUGUUUGUAAUCUGCAUGAAAAGUUUAUCCUCUAAAGAAGCAAAUUGCGUCAUGUCCUGUGCAUACGCCCAACUGUUUAUUAUAUGGAAGAAAAAUAUAAGAUGCCAACCUGAUACACUCUUCCUAGAGUAAAAUUGUCACUUCCUGCUUGUGUUAUUUACUUUGCAUUCACUGAACAGGCGUAUCUACUCUGUAUAACAAAGGUCCUGAUACAUAAUUUCAUUCACAAUUCUGUAUGGGAGGUUGGAUUGUCCUAUGCUUCAUUGUCUCUUGAUUAUCUCAUGAUAACCGACUAGUAUUGAAGUUGAUUUUGUCGCAUUCGAUUGUUUUUGAAGAAUUCUGGGAAGCAAAAAAUGUUUGAGAAUGCAUUGAACCUGUAUGUUGUAGAUGUGCUUACUAACGUUUCAUGACAUUGUCAGUCUUUUCAAGUUACUAAUAACAUGGUAUUCUCGAGUUGCUGAUAACAAUCAGCUUAGUUGUAAUUGUUGAUCGAACUGGGUGUUGCUUUUAUGUUAUACUCCCUCCGUCCCAAAUUAAUUGAGUUACAUUCAUCUAGAUACGGAUGUAUCUAACACUAAAACGUGGUUAGUCAUGUCCGUAUGUAGACAAAUCUGAGUGAACUAAUUCGGGACGGAGGGAGUAUUGCUCAGUGAGCUUUUUAUAGAGGUACAAGCUGGUCUUUGUGUUCAGAGGCUUGAUAUGACUGUUAACUCUAUAUUGUUUGGCUGUGUAUAUUUGCAAAUAAAUAUUGAUGCUAAUCACACAGAGGAAAUAUGCAGGUCAUGGUCUUAAUCACGUGCGAUGGAUUAACAUAUUUCCUUCUUUUUGCUAUGAUUGCAAUGUGGCUGUUGAUGACUCACUGUCUUCAAAAUGCUUUUUAUUGAUCAAUAAAACUAUUAACAAGCCCUGUUAAACAAUAACAAGCUCUGAUGCUCUGUUUUCAGUGAGAUUGCGAAGAACUUGCCACUUGCACCAGUAGAGCUCCAUUGCACUAUGCCUGUUGAAGAUGCAAUUAAAAUCAAAGAAGGUGAAUCUGGGAGACAGCCUUGCAGAGACACCUUUGAAAGGUUCGUUUGUUAUUUCAAACUGCUUAGUUUUGUAGAUCAUGCCCCAAAAUAAAUAGGUCUCAACAUUAUUGCUGCUAGUAGUUGAUAGUCUGUCAAUUGGGUUGAGGCAGUUUAUGUUCAUUUUUCUGAUGUAUACUUCUAUUUCUCUGCAAGAUGUAUGAUACCCGUAUUAGCAAAUCUUAAGUGGUGAAGUCUAUUCAUGACUGUAAUGCUUGCAGUCUUGACUCCCCCCCCCCCUCCGGGUCACUGGUCAUGAUAAGCAUUUCAUAUUGUACAAACAAAAGUUUUGAUUUUCAUUGAGCUUUUUUGUGUCAAGCAAUAUGUCUAACUCCAUCUUAGCUUGCAGAAUACACAAGAACUGUUAGUUUUUAAUGCUUUUUUGUAUUUUUGUCCUAUUGUUGUAUCGACACAGUUUCAGUUCCUUCAGGUACACUUUACUUACCUUAAGCUCUCAACUAUUUGUUUGUUGUGUUGUUGGCUUAAUAAAACUGACGUAACUCAGUUUCUUGUAUGUACC
rnacentral:lncRNA from 1 species